rnacentral:rRNA from 1 species
AACGAACGCUGGCGGCAGGCUUAACACAUGCAAGUCGAGCGCAUCCUUCGGGGUGAGCGGCGGACGGGUGAGUAACGCGUGGGAACGUGCCCUCUUCUACGGAAUAGCCUCGGGAAACUGAGAGUAAUGCCGUAUACGCCCGCAAGGGGAAAGAUUUAUCGGAGGAGGAUCGGCCCGCGUUGGAUUGGGUAUUUGGUGGGUAAAGGCCUACCAAGCCGACGAUCCAUAGCUGGUUUGAGAGGAUGAUCAGCCACACUGGGACUGAGACACGGCCCAGACUCCUACGGGAGGCAGCAGUGGGGAAUCUUGGACAAUGGGGGCAACCCUGAUCCAGCCAUGCCGCGUGAUCGAUGAAGGCCUUAGGGUUGUAAAGAUCUUUCAGCUGGGAAGAUAAUGACGGUACCAGCAGAAGAAGCCCCGGCUAACUCCGUG